GGGUCAGUAGGUUGGUCGUGCCACCGGUACGUACUGGUCUCACUGAUUCCUCCUUCCUGAAGAACCGUAAUGCCAUUAAUUUGGUGUUGCGGGGAAACAGGACUGUUACCUUGAAAAAAUUAGAGUGUUUAAAGCAAGCUAACGCUUGAAUACAUUAGCAUGGAAUAAUGAAAUAGGACGAUCGAUCCUAUUUUGUUGGUUUCUGGGAUUGACGUA
rnacentral:rRNA from 1 species